rnacentral:rRNA from 1 species
AGAGUUUGAUCCUGGCUCAGGAUGAACNCUAGNGGCAGGCUUAACACAUGCAAGUCGAGGGGCAGCGAGUCGUAGCAAUACGAUGUCGGCGACCGGCGGAUGGGUGCGUAACGCGUAUGCAACCUACCUUCAACAGGGGGUAAUCGAUGGAAACGUCGUCUAAUACCCCAUAUGGUCACGGUGCCGCAUGGCGCUGUGUCGAAAGAUUCAUUGGUUAGAGAUGGGCAUGCGUGAUAUUAGGUAGUUGGUGGGGCAACGGCCCACCAAGCCGACGAUGUCUAGGGGAGCUGAGAGGCUUAUCCCCCACACUGGUACUGAGACACGGACCAGACUCCUACGGGAGGCAGCAGUGAGGAAUAUUGGUCAAUGGGCGGAAGCCUGAACCAGCCAUGCCGCGUGAAGGAAGACGGCCCUAUGGGUUGUAAACUUCUUUUGUACCGGGGUAAUAAGGGGGACGCGUCCUCUGAUGAAAGUACGGUACGAAUAAGCAUCGGCUAACUCCGUGCCAGCAGCCGCGGUAAUACGGAGGAUGCAAGCGUUAUCCGGAUUUAUUGGGUUUAAAGGGUGCGUAGGCGGCGUCGUAAGUCAGCGGUGAAAUGCCCCGGCUCAACCGGGGAGCUGCCGUUGAUACUGCGGUGCUCGAGUCCAAACGGCGCAGGCGGAAUGUGUCAUGUAGCGGUGAAAUGCAUAGAGAUGACACAGAACACCGAUCGCGAAGGCAGCUUGCGAGGAUGGCACUGACGCUGAUGCACGAAAGCGUGGGGAUCAAACAGGAUUAGAUACCCUGGUAGUCCACGCAGUAAACGAUGAGGACUUGUUGUCGGCGAUAGACAGUCGGUGACAAAGCGAAAGCGAUAAGUCCUCCACCUGGGGAGUACGAUCGCAAGGUUGAAACUCAAAGGAAUUGACGGGGGCCCGCACAAGCGGAGGAGCAUGUGGUUUAAUUCGAUGAUACGCGAGGAACCUUACCUAGACUCAAAUGCAGCCGGAAUUGUCCAGAGAUGGUCAAGCCCUUCGGGGCUGGUUGCAAGGUGCUGCAUGGUUGUCGUCAGCUCGUGCCGUGAGGUGUCAGGUUAAGUCCUAUAACGAGCGCAACCCCUACGCCCAGUUGCCAUCACUUCGGGUGGGCACUCUGGGGGGACUGCCGGCGCAAGCCGCGAGGAAGGUGGGGAUGACGUCAAAUCAGCACGGCCCUUACGUCUAGGGCGACACACGUGCUACAAUGGCCGGUACAGAGGGCAGCUACCUGGUGACAGGAUGCUAAUCUCGAAAGCCGGUCUCAGUUCGGAUUGGAGUCUGCAACUCGACUCCAUGAAGUUGGAUUCGCUAGUAAUCGCGCAUCAGCCAUGGCGCGGUGAAUACGUUCCCGGGCCUUGUACACACCGCCCGUCAAGCCAUGAAAGUCCUGGGUACCUGAAGUUCGUGACCGCGAGGAGCGACCUAGGGUAAACAGGGUAAUUGGGGCUAAGUCGUAACAAGGUAGCC